AUACGUAGGGGGCGAGCGUUGUCCGGAAUGAUUGGGCGUAAAGGGCGCGUAGGCGGCGCGGUAAGUCUGGAGUGAAAGUCCUGCUUUCAAGGUGGGAAUUGCUUUGGAUACUGCCGCGCUUGAGUGCAGGAGAGGUUAUCGGAAUUCCCGGUGUAGCGGUGAAAUGCGUAGAGAUCGGGAGGAACACCAGUGGCGAAGGCGGGUAACUGGACUGCAACUGACGCUGAGGCGCGAAAGUGUGGGGAGCAAACAGGAUUAGAUACCCUGGUAGGCCACACUGUAAACGAUGAAUGCUAGGUGUAAGAGGUAUCGGCCCCUUUUGUGCCGGAGUCAACACAAUAAGCAUUCCGCCUGGGGAGUACGGCCGCAAGGUUGAAACUCAAAUGAAUUGACGGGG
rnacentral:rRNA from 1 species